CUUUUUCACCAAGUUUUAAACUAGAGUUAAUUUCAUACAACACCCCGUAAACAUAUCGAAUAAUAAAUAUAUACUUAUAAAGUUUAAUUUUUUAUAUUUAUUCUUAUAAAAGUCCAAUAAUAUUUAUAUUUAUUAAUCUGGUUUGUUAACAUUAAAACACUAUUUAUUUUUUAAUAAAAGAUGAGUGAAAUAAUAUUUUUGUCAUCACAAAUAUAUCUCUCUAAAAAUUUCAACCGUUAAAAUUAUGCAGAAAUGUCUUCCUAAAAAAUCUCCAACGGUCUUCUUUUCGUUCUAUCAUCACAAAUAAUAUAAGAUAUAAGAUGGGUAAAGAGAUCAACUUAUCAUUCACUAAUAAGGGUUAAGUAUUUUGCCUAUGUUUCACUAUAUUUUUCUGAAGGAUCAUAAUGGCAGAAAAAUAUUUGAAAAUGUUAGAAUUUUUGUAUGCAUAAAUAUAAAAAGUUAAACUUUGUAGGAAUAUAUCUCAAUUCGAUAUGUUUACAAGGAUUUGUAUACAAUUAACCCUUUAAACUAAUACAAUGCAUUAGUUUCUAACACCCACUAGGCUAGAGUCUUAGGACGUGUUUGGUUCGCCCAUUUUUCAUCCAGGAACCGAAAUCGGAAUGAACGAAUUCAUUUGUAGGUAUCUGAUAAAUUGGAAUCCUCCCAUCACCUCUUUUUCCAAUCCAGCUUAGAAGGUCGGAUUGAUAGUUUAAUUGAGACAGAAAGAAUGCACUUUACGAAAAUAUCCGAAUUAUAUUUUUUUACUUUUUAUUUAAAUGUAAAUUUAUUUUUUUGACGUUAAUUUUUAAUUAAAAUAUAAAAUUUAAAUUUAGAAAUUAAAUUGUUAAUCCUAGAUUUUGAUUAAGAAAUUAAAUUAAAAUAUAAAUUCAAUCAACCAUUUUGAAUUUGAUCUAUAAAUUUAAAUUUAAAUUUACUUAUGUUUGAAUUUGAAUCAAAUAAAAACUUAAUUUUACAAUUUGAAUUGUCGACUCAAUUUUAAAUUUUAAAAUUUUUAAAAUUUUGACUUAUCAUUUUAAUAUUUUGAUGUAAACUUUUAAUUUUUAACUUUUCGUUUGAAUUUAAAUUAUAAAUUUAAUUUUAUGUUUUAAGGUGCAAAAUUAAUUUUAAAUUAAUUAUAUAUUUUAUAUUUUAAUUUUAAUUAUUUUUUUAUAAUCAAAUUUUAUUGAAUGUUGCACGUAGGAUUCAACCAUAUCGAUUUCGAUUGUUUUUCUAAACCAAACAUAUUGGGAGUUUUUAUUAUUCCCUUUUUUAUUGCUGCU
rnacentral:lncRNA from 1 species